CAGAGUCGUAAAACACUCCCAAACCCAUGUGAACUUACCUUUGUUGCCUCGGCAGGACCUACCCUGUAGCUACCCUGUAGCUACCCUGUAGCCUGCCGAUGGACUACUAAACUCUUGUUAUUAUAUGGAAAUCUGAGCGUCUUAUUAAAUAAGUCA
rnacentral:misc_RNA from 1 species